rnacentral:rRNA from 1 species
CGCGUAGGAAUCUACCUGGUAGUGGGGACAACUUGGGAAACUCAAGCUAAUACCGCAUACGCCCCAUGGGGGAAAGGCGGGGGACCGUUCGGGCCUCGCGCUAUCAGAUGAGCCUGCGUCGGAUUAGCUAGUUGGUGGGGUAAAAGCCUACCAAGGCGACGAUCCGUAGCUGGUCUGAGAGGAUGAUCAGCCACACUGGGACUGAGACACGGCCCAGACUCCUACGGGAGGCAGCAGUGGGGAAUAUUGGGCAAUGGAGGCAACUCUGACCCAGCCAUGCCGCGUGCAGGAAGACUGCCC